rnacentral:rRNA from 1 species
AUUGAACGCUGGCGGCAGGCCUAACACAUGCAAGUCGAGCGCGAAAGUUCUUCGGAAUGAGUAAAGCGGCGGACGGGUGAGUAAUACAUGGGAAUCUGCCUGGUAGUGGGGGACAACGUUUCGAAAGGAACGCUAAUACCGCAUACGCCCUACGGGGGGAAAGGGGGGGAUCUUCGGACCUCUCGCUAUCAGAUGAGCCC